rnacentral:rRNA from 1 species
GACGAACGCUGGCGGCGUGCUUAACACAUGCGAGUCGAACGGAAAGGCCCUGCUUUUGUGGGGUGCUCGAGUGGCGAACGGGUGAGUAACACGUGAGUAACCUGCCCUUGACUUUGGGAUAACUUCAGGAAACUGGGGCUAAUACCGGAUAGGAGCUCCUGCUGCAUGGUGGGGGUUGGAAAGUUUCGGCGGUUGGGGAUGGACUCGCGGCUUAUCAGCUUGUUGGUGGGGUAGUGGCUUACCAAGGCUUUGACGGGUAGCCGGCCUGAGAGGGUGACCGGCCACAUUGGGACUGAGAUACGGCCCAGACUCCUACAGGAGGCAGCAGUGGGGAAUAUUGCACAAUGGGCGGAAGCCUGAUGCAGCAACGCCGCGUGCGGGAUGACGGCCUUCGGGUUGUAAACCGCUUUCGCCUGUGACGAAGCGUGAGUGACGGUAAUGGGUAAAGAAGCACCGGCUAACUACGUG